AGCGGAGGAAAAGAAACCAACAGGGAUUGCCUCAGUAACGGCGAGUGAAGCGGCAAAAGCUCAAAUUUGAAAUCUGGCACCUUCGGUGUCCGAGUUGUAAUUUGAAGAAGGUAACUUUGGAGUUGGCUCUUGUCUAUGUUCCUUGGAACAGGACGUCACAGAGGGUGAGAAUCCCGUGCGAUGAGAUGCCCAAUUCUAUGUAAAGUGCUUUCGAAGAGUCGAGUUGUUUGGGAAUGCAGCUCUAAGUGGGUGGUAAAUUCCAUCUAAAGCUAAAUAUUGGCGAGAGACCGAUAGCGAACAAGUACAGUGAUGGAAAGAUGAAAAGAACUUUGAAAAGAGAGUGAAAAAGUACGUGAAAUUGUUGAAAGGGAAGGGCUUGAGAUCAGACUUGGUAUUUUGCAAGCUUUACCUUCGUGGUGGAGUCCCCUGCAGUUUACUGGGCCAGCAUCGGUUUGGAUGGUAGGAUAAUGACUUGGGAAUGUGGCUUUGCUUCGGUAAAGUGUUAUAGCCCUUGUUGAUGCUACCUGUCUAGACCGAGGACUGCGUCUUUGACUAGGAUGUUGGCAUAAUGAUCUUAAGUCGCCCGUCUUG
rnacentral:rRNA from 1 species